rnacentral:rRNA from 1 species
UACGUAGGGAGCAAGCGUUGCUCGGAAUCACUGGGCGUAAAGCGCACGUAGGCGGACUCUUAAGUCAGGGGUGAAAUCCUGGAGCUCAACUCCAGAACUGCCUUUGAUACUGGGAAUCUUGAGUUCGGGAGAGGUGAGUGGAACUGCGAGUGUAGAGGUGAAAUUCGUAGAUAUUCGCAAGAACAUCAGUGGCGAAGGCGGCUCACUGGCCCGAUACUGACGCUGAGGUGCGAAAGCGUGGGGAGCAACAGG